rnacentral:lncRNA from 1 species
UGGCUUUGCGCCUUCCAUUUAACAACAGUGUCCCUUUGGGCAAGUCAUAGGCCUCUGCUUCAGUAUCAUUCUUUUAGCUCGCAGUGGUGUCUUGUGUUCAGUAUAGAGGAAAGUUUCCAGCCCCAAUGGUUCACUGAUAGAGAAGCAGAGCAACAGCUCUUAACCUCUGAGAGAUUUUG